rnacentral:rRNA from 1 species
GCUAAGGUCGGGCCGGCGGCGGCGGGAGGGCGAACCGGGCGAACGUGGUUCGGAAGCACUGGGCUUAAAGGGCGCGUAGGCGGCCCGCCGCGUCCGGGGUGAAAUCCUCCCGCUCAACGGGAGAACGGCCUCGGAUACGGGCGGGCUGGAGGGGGGUAGGGGCACGCGGAACUGUGGGUGGAGCGGUGAAAUGCGUUGAGAUCCACAGGAACUCCGGUGGCGAAGGCGGCGUGCUGGACCCCAUCUGACGCUGAGGCGCGAAAGCCAGGGGAGCGAACGGGAUUAGAUACCCGUGUAGUC